GACGAACGCUGGCGGCGUGCCUAAUACAUGCAAGUCGAGCGGAUGACGGAGGAGCUUGCUCCUCUAGAUUCAGCGGCGGACGGGUGAGUAACACGUGAGCAACCUGCCCUGUAGAUUGGGAUAACUCCGGGAAACCGGGGCUAAUACCGAAUAAUCCUUCGGACCUCAUGGUCCGAUGUUGAAAGACGGUUUCGGCUGUCACUACAGGAUGGGCCCGCGGCGCAUUAGCUAGUUGGUGAGGUAACGGCUCACCAAGGCCACGAUGCGUAGCCGACCUGAGAGGGUGAUCGGCCACACUGGGACUGAGACACGGCCCAGACUCCUACGGGAGGCAGCAGUAGGGAAUCUUCCACAAUGGACGAAAGUCUGAUGGAGCAACGCCGCGUGAGUGAAGAAGGCUCUCGGAUCGUAAAACUCUGUUGUGAGGGAAGAACAAGUACCGGAGUAACUGCCGGUGCCUUGACGGUACCUCAUUAGAAAGCCACGGCUAACUACGUGCCAGCCGCCGCUGUAAAAC
rnacentral:rRNA from 1 species